CCUACGGGAGGCAGCAGUGGGGAAUAUUGCGCAAUGGGCGAAAGCCUGACGCAGCGACGUCGCGUGAGGGAUGAAGGUCUUCUGAUCGUAAACCUCUGUCAGCAGGGAAGAACGGUCACUGUGCUAAUCAGCAGUGCAUUGACGGUACCUGCAAAGGAAGCACCGGCUAACGCCGUGCCAGCAGCCGCGGUAAUACGGCGGGUGCGAGCGUUAAUCGGAAUUACUGGGCGUAAAGCGCUCGUAGGCGGUAUGUCAAGUCAAGGGUGAAAUCCCCGCGCUCAACGUGGGAAGUGCCUUUGAAACUGGCAAACUGGAGUGUGAGGGAGGAUAGUGGAAUUCCAGGUGUAGGAGUGAAAUCCGUAGAUAUCUGGAGGAACAUCGAUGGCGAAGGCGACUAGCUGGAACGUAACUGACGCUGAGGAGCGAAAGCGUGGGUAGCAAACAGGAUUAGAUACCCCUGUAGUC
rnacentral:rRNA from 1 species